rnacentral:rRNA from 1 species
ACCUCUAGCAUUACCAGUAUUAGAGGCACCGCCUGCCCGGUGACAUAUGUUUAACGGCCGCGGUACCCUAACCGUGCAAAGGUAGCAUAAUCACUUGUUCCUUAAAUAGGGACUUGUAUGAAUGGCUCCACGAGGGUUUAGCUGUCUCUUACUUUCAACCAGUGAAAUUGACCUACCCGUGAAGAGGCGGGCAUAACAUAACAAGACGAGAAGACCCUAUGGAGCUUUAAUUCAUUAAUGCAAACAAUACUUAACAAACCUACAGGUCCUAAACUAUUAAACCUGCAUUAAAAAUUUCGGUUGGGGCGACCUCGGAGCACAACCCAACCUCCGAGCAAUACAUGCUAAGACCUCACCAGUCAAAGCGAAUUACUACAUCCAAUUGAUCCAAUGACUUGACCAACGGAACAAGUUACCCUAGGGAUAACAGCGCAAUCCUAUUCCAGAGUCCAUAUCAACAAUAGGGUUUACGACCUCGAUGUUGGAUCAGGACAUCCCGAUGGUGCAGCCGCUAUUAAAGGUU